GUAGUCCACGCCGUAAACGGUGGGCACUAGAUGUGGGGCUCUUUCCAUGAGUUCCGCGUCGCAGCUAACGCAUUAAGUGCCCCGCCUGGGGAGUACGGCCGCAAGGCUAAAACUCAAAGGAAUUGACGGGGGCCCGCACAAGCGGCGGAGCAUGCGGAUUAAUUCGAUGCAACGCGAAGAACCUUACCAAGGCUUGACAUAUGCCGUUUAUCCCUAGAGAUAGGGAGUCCUUCGGGGCGGUAUACAGGUGGUGCAUGGUUGUCGUCAGCUCGUGUCGUGAGAUGUUGGGUUAAGUCCCGCAACGAGCGCAACCCUCGUUCUAUGUUGCCAGCGCGUAAUGGCGGGGACUCAUAGGAGACUGCCGGGGUCAACUCGGA
rnacentral:rRNA from 1 species